AAUAAAUUAUAAUAACCUAAUUCCGCCCCUUAAAUCCAAAAUAAUCAUAAUAUCAUAUCUUCCUCCACCGCCAUCGACGACAUACGCACGGACCCAAACACGACCUAUCAUUGACUGCUCCUUACUUGAAUGUUGAAUCUGUCCCUCUGUUUCUUUUUAAAGUUUUUCUCUUCUCCUUAUCUCUAACACAUUCAACGUUUUUUUUUCCUUCCUAUUAUUAUUUUUAGUAUUUUGUUUAUUUACACGUACAAAAUUAAUAUUUCUUCUUCCUCUUUGUUUGUUUGCUAUUUUUUAUUUUGUUGAUCUCCAUUCAUUUUCUGUUACUUCCCUCUCGCUUCGUCGAUCUCUCCAGUCGCUCUCUCCGUGUUAAUUUAUCGAGGGUUGAAUUUUUCUCUAAAUUUAUCGCAACUAAAUUAGGGUUUCGUGGCCUUCUUAAUUAUGCUAUUUCAAGCUUAAUUUGAUCUUAAUAUGUCGAAUUCAGGAUGCUGAGUAGAUGCUGAUGAUGAAUCAAGGAGUUAAUACGCAAACCAUAGCUUCAGU
rnacentral:lncRNA from 1 species